GCGUGGGAUCGAAUGGAAUGAUUAGCUUGUGGUGCUAGCGGGAGCAAUCUCGUGGGGGUUCAAGUCCCCCUCUCCGCACCA
rnacentral:tRNA from 1 species